AUAUCUCAUAUUUAUCUCACAAGCAAAAUCGUAAAAAUGAUCGCAUUUUGCGAAACGAGGUUAAUCGCGGCGCUUGAUAUGACGGGACAAAGGACAACAAUCUGUCACAACAAAUAUAAUUGGCACGCGAGGCUCUUGCCGCCUUAUAAAAGUCUGACGCUGAAUGAAUGAGGCCGCUUUAUUACCAUCUUAACUCACAUAGUGGUAUCGUAAAAGUCGCAAUUGAGUGAAAAAACACUGACGUUAAACGCCCUAUCACUGUUUACGCCAUAAAUUCUGAGAUCUUCCAUAAGGUUAACAGAACAUGUUAAGCUAUCCUCGUCCAUUAGUUAUACGUGGGAAUAAGAUUGAAGAGAAGAAAAAAAGAAAAACGCAAGAGUGCAUCGAGCAAAUCGAUGACGCGAUCGGCCGGCUGCUUCUAGAGCGAAACGACCCAGAUUCUACCGUACGCGCUUAUAAUCGGACUGAUAUUACAUCAGAAAGCAAUAUAUAUUCGCGUAAGAUAUUUGCCAUCACUGUGACCAAUCUUUAACAAUCAUUGACAAAUUGAAAUAAUG